rnacentral:rRNA from 1 species
CAAAAUUAGGGUCAACGCUACCUGUAGGAAGUGUCCGCAUAAAGUGCACCGCAUGGAAAUGAAGACGGCCAUUAGCUGUACCAUACUCAGGCACACAAAAAUACUGAUAGCAGUCGGCGUGUGAAUCAUUAGCCUUGCGACCCUCGGCAGCAAGAACCAUACGACCAAUAUCACGAAAAUAGUCACGCAAAGCAUUGGGAUUAUCAUAAAACGCCUCUAAUCGGUCGUCAGCCAACGUGAGAGUGUCAAA